GACGAACGCUGGCGGCGUGCUUAACACAUGCAAGUCGAACGGAAAGGCCCUGCUUUUGUGGGGUGCUCGAGUGGCGAACGGGUGAGUAACACGUGAGUAACCUGCCCUUGACUUUGGGAUAACUUCAGGAAACUGGGGCUAAUACCGGAUAGGAGCUCCUGCUGCAUGGUGGGGGUUGGAAAGUUUCGGCGGUUGGGGAUGGACUCGUGGCUUAUCAGCUUGUUGGUGGGGUAGUGGCUUACGAAGGCUUUGACGGGUAGCCGGCCUGAGAGGGAGAGCGGCCACAUUGGGACUGAGGUACGGCCCAGACUCCUACGGGAGGCAGCAGUGGGGAAUAUUGCACAAUGGGCGGAAGCCUGAUGCAGCAACGCCGCGUGCGGGACGACGGCCUUCGGGUUGUAAACCGCUUUCGCCUGUGACGAAGCGUGAGUGACGGUAAUGGGUAAAGAAGCACCGGCUAACUACGUG
rnacentral:rRNA from 1 species